CCUACGGGGGACAGCAGUAGGGAAUAUUGCUCAAUGGGGGAAACCCUGAAGCAGCAACGCCGCGUGGAUGAUGAAGGUUUUCGGAUUGUAAACUCCUUUUGUUAGAGAAGAUAAUGACGGUAUCUAACGAAUCAGCACCGGCUAACUCCGUGCCAGCAGCCGCGGUCAUACGGAGGGUGCAAGCGUUACUCGGAAUCACUGGGCGUAAAGAGCGCGUAGGCGGGAUAGCAAGUCAGAUGUGAAAUCCUAUGGCUUAACCAUAGAAGUGCAUUGGAAACUGUUAUUCUAGAGUAUGGGAGAGGUAGGUGGAAUUCUAGGUGUAGGGGUAAAAGCCGCAGAGAUCAAGAGGAAUACUCAUGGCGAAGGCGACCUGCUAGAACAUAACUGACGCUGAUGCGCGAAAGCGUGGGGAGCAAACAGGAUUAGAUACCCGUGUAGUC
rnacentral:rRNA from 1 species